rnacentral:rRNA from 1 species
CCUACGGGAGGCAGCAGUGAGGAAUAUUGGUCAAUGGGAGAGAUCCUGAACCAGCCAAGCCGCGUGAGGGAAGACGGCCCUAUGGGUUGUAAACCUCUUUUGUCGGAGAACAAAACCCGAGACGUGUCCCGGACUGCGUGUAUCCGAAGAAAAAGCAUCGGCUAACUCCGUGCCAGCAGCCGCGGUAAUACGGAGGAUGCGAGCGUUAUCCGGAUUUAUUGGGUUUAAAGGGUGCGUAGGUGGUUAAUUAAGUCUGAUGUGAAAGCCCACGGCUUAACCGUGGAGGGUCAUUGGAAACUGGUUGA